rnacentral:lncRNA from 1 species
CCCGCGUGCUGUGUAACGCCGUCGCCUGACCAGUUGCGCUUGGAACCCGCCACCCCAGUACCCCACCCCACCCCAAGCCCGCUACCCCACCCACCCACCCUCGCAUUGCUCCACCAGCUGCGUGAUGAGGUAGCGCAGGUUGAAGGACGUGUACUCGCCGCUGCCCGCCAGGAAGGCCAGACGGCUGGAGGCGGCCUUGCAAAUCUCCUGGAACCUGUGUGCAUCGCGCAGGAUGACAGGGCGGUUGUCUGUAUGAUGGCAGGGAGGUCCGGAGGUGGGGCUUGAGAAUUGGCGCACGCUGAGGAGUACGUGGGAACUAGGAAGGAUGGUGGGGCAAGGGCUGCAGGGGCUCUGUGACCGGCCACGGAUGUGCCCAUGGCGGCACGUGUGUCAUUAAAGCAGAUGCCACCCCGCAGUGCAAGCAGCGGUGCGACCCUGUUCAUCCACAUCAACGGCCCAGUGUCCCACUCCUAGCGUGGGUAGCGGUGCGGUUGGUAUGCGUAUCGCACCUGUUCCGCAACCCAUCUUCCGUAACCUCCACCUCGGCUCUCCGCAUUGCAUGGAGCCAGAAGACGUAGUCACACAUGCCGUCCAGCCCAGCCAAUGUCCCAGGCGGCAGGUUUCUGCGGGAGCGGGAGGGAGCGGGCGAGUCAUAUGUGGGGGGAGACUCGUGGGGGAGACUCAGGGACAAGUGUCAUCACCCACAAGCUGAGAGCUCUGGGGGCCCUUUCUCGCCCUUCCCUUGCAGUAUCUCGCGUCUCCACACCGGCCAAGUGGUACCGGUACUCGAGAGUCAUACCAAGGCGCCUUUAAUUCGCCACACCUGAACGCGUGCGACAAGUCCUCCUUUAUCCGCUCCAUCUUAUUUCUGUCUGUUCCGACAGUCCAGACCAGGCGCUAUCUCCUCACGUCCGCGCUGGCGGCCAGGGGCCACAAAGGCUCUGAUAUCGCUCGAAACUAUUUCGCGAUGUGCCGACGCAUCAUACUGGACACCAGAUUCAUAUCCGCAUUACGAAACUUCAAAACGCAGAGUACCGGUUUGGUUUGCGUGAAAACAUUCAACGUUGCCAGCAACGUUGCAGCGUUCUAAUCUGAGUGACGCGUACUGUUUUCAACGCAUUUGCUGCUUAACACCACUAUGUGAAAAUGGGGUCAGCUUGCUAGCGUAAACUGCGACCAGUUCUAGUUUCGGUACAGUGUACAAGCCAAGAUUUCAGACGUUUACGGUGCUGGAGUACCUGGUAAUUUGCAAUGUGGUCUGGAAGCGUUUGCCCAAACUAGAAUGUGUUGGGUUUGCCAAUCUACAAUCCGCCACCCUGCUACGUACCCCGACAGCGCAUGAGCAUGCUCUCUUUCGGUUGUUGUCGCCCCUUAGGUUUGUGCGUGCGCUGUGCGUGUGUGCUGCGGCCUGGACGAUUCCCGGCACCCCGGUGCCUAGGCUUGUGGCGUUGAGGCACAGCGGUGGGGCUCUGGCGGGUUGAGGCUUGGCUCGGACUCACUGUGCGCGGAGUCACACGGACUUUGACCGCGGGAGGGUUUGCAGCAAAGUCGGGGUUGGUGGAUUCAAGUUGGGCCCUGAUAGCAUGUGAUGGCUCGGCGUCCUCGGGUGCUGGCCUGCUGGGACUGUCCCCUCUGUAACAUCCGCAUUCUUAGGUUUGUGGACACUUACAACAGAUGUGAUAUCGCUAAGGUGCCUGUUCGUGUUCCGCGCGUAAGGCGCACGAGCCGCAUGAAGGAACGUGAAUGCGGGGGGGUUGGUUUGAGUUCGGGGAUUCUGAAGUUACUCAGUUUACAGAGGCGGGGUGGGACUGGGUGGGCAUGAUUGCGCAGGUGGCUAACGAUGCGCAAGGGUGCCGCUGGUCCGAACGGCACGGACUGUUGGUUCCGGAUUCCACGGAUGUAACGAACGGAUACUGAGUUUUACGGCUACCUGAGGGGCGUUGGAAACGAGGGGCGUCGGUGGGACUCGUGGGGAACGGUGGGAAUCGGUGGGAAUCGGUGGGAGUCGGUGGGGAUCGGUGGGAACGGGGGAGCCGAACGGGUGGGACCGGCCCUUGGGGGUGCCGACCGAAUUUACUGAUUUCACUUUUUGCAUGGGCGUAGGAUCGCGCCGCCCCGUCGAACUCUUUUGCGUGCCUGUGGCUUGCCAGCAAGUAUUCUUGAGUAGCAGAUGCGUCAUGGACAUAUAUAGAAAGAGGAGGCACGCGGCCCAAGCGGCCGCGGCUUCCGCCCUUCCCUGGGAGAAACCACACGCCCGCUCCCCCCUUCAGCGGGUGCAACACGAGCGCGGCGCCAGUUGGAAGCUGUUUUGGGGGCUGCUUAAACUCUGGCAGCCCCGCCAGUAGCUGCUUGCGAGCCUGCUCACCUGCUGCCGCUGCGCCUGCUGCCUCUUCCACAUCAACCUCACUUCAUCCCGCAGCAGCUGCGCGGGCUCCAUGCGCUGUCGCUUGGGAUAGGGCCAUAGCGGCUGGUGCGCGACUCGUGGGGCGCAGGUACCGCAGAUCGUUUGGUCGAUCGUGUUUUGGCGUGCUUUACUGUUUACAGCCCACCCUCGCCAGCAGACUGUCACUGUCCGGCAGACCGGGGGCAUUUGAGGCGCUAUCGCCAUCGCCAUGCUCCCACACGAAGCAACAAUGUGGCUUUGGCUAUACGGCAUCGGUACCAUGCCCACGCACCAGUCUCAGCAUAUCCCAUCCCGAAACACCACACCCAUUCGUCCUGGCCUUCCGCUUCCAUCUCCGCUUCCAUCAGAUUAUGAGGCGCCUUGGUGCAUCAACCGCACCAAGGGCAAGGGACCUGAACUCUUGUGCACGUCAUCUCUUCUGAACGCAGCCCCAAUAAGCUGGAACUCAUGGGUAUCUCUUUACUCGUGGAGCCUCAAAACUCUUGCCCGUGUAUUAUUCCCCAGCCUCCAUCCCAGUCAUUCUCGUGCGGGCACGCUCCACAGCAGCGUGCGUUGCACCCCUUGAACACCAUCCAACUCGUCAUCAAGCACUGCGUGUUCCCAUUUCUCUUCUCGCCCGGGAUGCAACCCCUUCGGCAACCGUGGCACGGCUGUGCGGAGGCACUGAUGGGCACUUAGCGGCACCAAAUGCGCGCCGCCUACUAGGGAGGCGCAACACAAAGCCACCAUGCUCCCGAGCCCCGCGUGUUGGCGCACAUACAGUUCCGAUCGAGUGGUGUGCCGCAAUCGGGGGCGUCCAGAGAUGGUUAUGAGAAGGUUUGGCGCCGGGCCGACAUGGUAAAAAAGGACGCAGGACUCUGCCUGCCCCCAAAACGGCACACCGCCCUGACAUGAUACACUUUACUGACAUACAUGGGUCGCCGGAGUGACACACCAAAACCAAAAAUUUCGACUGCAUUAGUUAGGUUCCCUGCUAAUAGGCGUGCAUAUAGGAUGCUCACUCCUGUGAAUACCCACGCUCCCCGUACUUCUCAUCUCCUCACGGCACCGGUGCAGGUCAUGUAAAGCCUCAUAUCAAGCAGUAACAACAAUAACACGCAUCCCGUCGCAGGCGUGCGGCUGGUUGCACCGCACCAUACCAGAUGAGCGCUGCUAGCCCGAUAACAACUUAUGAUGGACACGAUGAAACCAUUUUCAACGCGUACUAGGAUGUGCAGGUAUCAGCGCCCCUUGCGUGCCGUACUACAUGAAAUAAUGUGCUGAAGUACUAUCUCUGUCGUUUAUUGUUUGGUUCCAUGUGAGCUUCAUGAGGCAGGCCAAGCCUGCUUCCAUACAGCCUUUGUUUCAUGCAUUGGUAAGGUGGAAGCACAAUUUGAGAUGCUUCCAAAUGCGGUUGCAAUGCCCCGGGCACCUGCUAAGGCUCGCCAUCGCCCGACUCCGCGCUCGCGCUGCUGCGCCUUUUGCUGUUCUCCAUGGACGACUCCUGCUUUACUGCCGGCAGAGAUGCCGCUGUUGCCCCGGAUUGCCCCGUCCCGGCCACCGCAACUGCCGCCGCCGUGGCCGCCGCCGCAGCGCGCAGCUGCUGCUGGUGCUGCUGCUCCCGCUCUGCCUGCGCCGCCGCCUGCUCCGCUUGCGUCGCCAGCUGCUCCGCCUGUACACCACCACACAAGUAAAUGUCAAAAGAAUAGAUGAGACCGCAUGAUCAACGAGACCUGCACCCCUUACUCGCCCCCUCAGUACUGAUGUGGGCCGGGGGAGGGGAGAGCAGCGGCGGCCUACCUCGAGGGACUCCACGCGCUUCUGCAGCUUCACCACGUACUUCUCCAGCCGGCGUGUGUAGCUGUGCAUGUCUGCAAAUGACACAGAAAACGCGCAGCCACAAGUUUGAUUGCAGGUUCGGCUGGACAAGGCAUGGUUGUCAACCCGCUCGAAAGCCAAGCUACAACACCUUUCCCCUACCAUAUGGCCCUAACCGUCCCCGUCCCACCCAACCCCAAGCCCGCUACCCCACCCACCCACCCUCGCAUUGCUCCACCAGCUGCGUGAUGAGGUAGCGCAGGUUGAAGGACGUGUACUCGCCGCUGCCCGCCAGGAAGGCCAGACGGCUGGAGGCGGCCUUGCAAAUCUCCUG